GCUGGCUUCCUUAAAGCAUCAGUUGGGCUUCUAACUCAUUUUUCUGUUUGCUUGUUUCUCUCUUUCAGCCCCAGUGAGUGAAGCCCUAGGACACUAGGGGCAAGGUCUUGUCCCGUUGGGUAUAUUCUUACCAUCCAACUCGGUGCCUGGUGGGCAGAAGGCACUAAAUCUAUCUGCAAAAUACACUCCUACUCAAAUGACCAGUGGGCAAAUGCUGUCAUUUGGCCACCUCAAUGACUCCCUCAGGCUCUUUAAAGAUGCUGAUGUGAAUAGAUAGCUUGGGAUGUCUCUAGAGGCUCCAAAAAUGAACAGGAAACCCAGGGAUAAAUCCUGAGCACUCUGGUCUGAACUGCAACAUGGAUCUUGAAAGCAGGGCUCGGACCACACCCUGGGCAGCGAGUGGGAUGCUUGGGGACAAUGAUCAGCAGUCCUGGGGGUAUUCUCUAUCCACAUGGGGGCCUGUCAGUGGCUUGGCCCAUGGCAGGCAGGCUGGCCCAUGACUGUCCAGAUGAGCAGCUGAGUGUGUUUGGAAUUCUGGGCCCAAACCUGGGGUGUCAUGAUGCCAACACCCUGGGUUUCCAUCUGAAAGUCAGUGACUCGGUGUGCCCUCCUGGUUUGUACUGUACCCUUCCAAAGACCAGAGGAGGAGGAAUGGUGAUACAGCCACCUCGUGUUACGCUACACACCAGCUGCCUUGCUCAUCCUGACUCAGCUCAUAACCUCCCUUCAGCCAUGAAGUAGCCAGACCUCAGUGGCUGUGUGUCAGCUGACACCCAUCAAACCAACAUGGUGACUGCCGAUGCAAGAGGGCACCCACUGAUCCAAGAUGACGCCACUGCUCCCAAGACCAUGCCACCAGUCCAAGAUGGCACCCACUAAUCAAAGAUGGUGCUAUCACUCCCAAGACCAUCUCACUGAUCCGAGAUGGCACCCACCAAUCAAAAUGGUGCCCACUGAUCCAAGAGGGAGCCUACUGAUCUAAGAUGAUGCCACCAUUCCAAGAUGGCACCCACUGAUCCAAGAUGAUGGUACUACCAUUCCCAAGACUGUGCCACCAAUCCAAGAUGGCACCCAUCAAUCCAAGAGGAUGCUCACCAAUCCAAGAGAAUGCCCACCACUCAAAGAAGAUAGCCACCACUCCAAGAUGUUGCCACCACUAAAGAUGGAGCUACUAAUCCAGUAUGGCACCCACCAAUCCAAGAUGAUGCCCGCUGAUCCAAGAUGGCACC